rnacentral:lncRNA from 11 species
AACUAUAGGGUCAUACUGGAGGACUAAGAGAUUUCUAAAGAGAUGUUCUCUCAUGUUAAAAACAUGUUUUCCACUUUUGCAGGAACCUAUGUCCCUAAUCCCAGUGAAUGUGGAGGGGUGAUUGUACUUCCAGAAAGGGAGUUGAAUUAUGCUACCAUUCGUGGAGAACACCAGGUUUUGCUAGUGAAUCACAUUAUGAAAUCUGCAACCAUGAAAGACCCAUUUGUUGCAUUAUCCAUAAAAGAAAUAAAAGUGAUAACUAACAUGGAAGCUAAACUGGUAUGUUUUCUGUUGAGAGAUGCUUGUUGAAUUUAAUUAGUUUUUGGGUUUCAUAUCUAUCCUGUUUUGCAAUUUUUACCAUUCUAUAUGAUUUAUGCUUCACCAACUUUCAUUUUUUAAAACUUAAGUGUAGGUUUGCCAUUGGACUCUGCAGAAUAUCAAGGAAUAGGAAGGUGGGGGCAGUUAUUCAUGAUAAAUUGAUUUCCUUUCAGUAUUAUUGUGGG